rnacentral:tRNA from 1 species
AAAGCUUUAGCUUAAUGAAAGCGUCUGGGUUGCAUUCAGAAAAUGUGGGAUAAAGUCCUGCAAGUUUUA